AUCCUGCUCGCUCCCCACGCUUUCGUCCCUCAGCGUCAGUACAUACGUAGUAGACUGCCUUCGCAAUCGGUAUUCUGUGUAAUAUCUAUGCAUUUCACCGCUACACUACACAUUCUAUCUACUUCCAUAUGACUCAAGUCAACCAGUAUCAAAGGCAGUUCCAUAGUUGAGCUAUGGGAUUUCACCUCUGACUUAAUUGACCGCCUGCGGACCCUUUAAACCCAAUGAUUCCGGAUAACGCUCGGACCCUCCGUAUUACCGCGGCUGCUGGCACGGAGUUAGCCGGUCCUUAUUCUUACAGUACCGUCAAGCUGCUACACGUAGCAGGGUUUCUUCCUGUAUAAAAGCAGUUUACAACCCAUAGGGCCGUCUUCCUGCACGCGGCAUGGCUGGGUCAGAGUUGCCUCCAUUGCCCAAUAUUCCUCACUGCUGCCCCCUGUAGGAGUCUGGUCCGUGUCUCAGUACCAGUGUGGGGGAUCUCCCUCUCAGGACCCCUACCUAUCGCUGUCUUGGUAAGCCGUUACCUUACCAACUAACUAAUAGGACGCAUAGCCAUCUUUUACCGAUAAAUCUUUAAUUAAGUCUCGAUGCCAAGUCUCAAUACUAUAAGGUAUUAAUCUUCAUUUCUAAAGGCUAUCCCUCUGUAAAAGGUAAGUUCUAUACGCGUUACGCACCCGUGCGCCGGUCGUCAGCGAGUGCAAGCACUCCUGUUACCCCUCGACUUGCAUGUGUUAAGCCUGCCGCUAGCGUUCAUCCUGAGCCAGGAUCAAACUCU
rnacentral:rRNA from 1 species